UUUAAUUGAAGAGUUUGAUCAUGGCUCAGAUUGAACGCUGGCGGCAGGCCUAACACAUGCAAGUCGAGCGGUAACAGAGAGUAG
rnacentral:rRNA from 3 species